rnacentral:lncRNA from 1 species
UCCGCCCCCCCUUCUUCCCAGUGGCCUUUGGGUGUGUAUAAAAGCCCAGGUGCUUUAUGAAUCCUCAGGAGCAGCGAAAGUGCAAUAUCACGCCUCGUACUGUACAUCACAGGAUCCAGACCUGACCUCCAAACAACCAUGCUGACCAGGAAUAUUCUCAUUUUCUGUGCGCUGACGGUGCUGCUGACUGAAGCCGACCUCGACGCAGUUGACGGGGCUCCACAAGCCAUUUCCACAGAUCAGGACUCCACCUCUGAUGAAGCUCCUACUGGUGAGUCUACAGGCCGGACUGGGAGCACUGGGGGAGCUGGGCCGCGGUUUGGUUAUACGGGGGAAUCUCAGUUAUGUCCUUUAUGUUUAUCUUUACAGAGAGCAUGAACUCCCCCGUCUCCCCCGACCAGCCCAACGGUGAGUACACACACACACACACACACACACACACACACUAACCCUUAACAGAGUUAACAGAGUUAAUCAAGGUAAUGAUGAAACAGUAACAUGUUAUGAUAACAUAGUAUUUGUGUGUGUGUGUGUGUGUGUGUGUGUGUGUGUGUGGCGGCAUGACAAUUUUAAUCUGUAAUAAUUUUCCUUUUGGAUCAAACAAGCUGCAGCA